rnacentral:rRNA from 1 species
GACGAACGCUGGCGGCGUGCUUAACACAUGCAAGUCGAACGGAAAGGCCCUGCUCUUGUGGGGUGCUCGAGUGGCGAACGGGUGAGUAACACGUGAGUAACCUGCCCUUGACUUUGGGAUAACUUCAGGAAAAUGGGGCUAAUAUCGGAUAGGAGCUCCUGCUGCAUGGUGGGGGUUGGAAAGUUUCGGCGGUUGGGGAUGUACUCGCGGCUUAUCAGCUUGUUGGUGGGGUAGUGGCUUACCAAGGCUUUGACGGGUAGCCGGCCUGAGAGGGUGACCGGGCACAGUGGGACUGGGGUGGCAGCAGGACGCAUACGGGAGGCAGCGGUGGGAGAUUGUGCGCGAUAGGCGGAGGCCGGAAUCAGCGACUCCGCGUGCUAGAUGACUGCCUUCGGGGAAGAAACCGCUUGCACCUGAGAAGGAGCGUGUGUAACGGUAAUGAGUAGAGAGGCACGGGCUAACUAGGGG